rnacentral:misc_RNA from 1 species
UCCGUGGUAACACCACGGCAGUCCCCCGUGACACAAGUAACACGGGGCAAGGGUUGCGCUCGUUGCGGGACUUAACCCAACAUCUCACGACACGAGCUGACGACAGCCAUGCAGCACCGGUGUACCACCCUCGAAGGCAACCAGCUUUCGCUGGUUCGCAGGUACAUGUCAAGCCUGGGUAAGGUUCUGCGUGUUGCAUCGAAUUAAACCACAUGCUCCACCGCUUGUGCAGGCCCCCGUCAAUUCCUUUGAGUUUCAGCCUUGCGGCCGUACUCCCCAGGCGGGACACUUAAUGCGUUAGCUGCGACACCGAAGGGGUCGUCCCACCGGCAUCUAGUGCCCAUCGUUUACGGCGUGGACUAC